rnacentral:rRNA from 1 species
UACGGAGGGUGCAAGCGUUAUCCGGAUUCACUGGGUUUAAAGCGUGUGUAGGCGGAUCGUUAAGUACCUUGUGAAAUCCCACGGCUUAACCGUGGAACUGCUGGGUAUACUGGCGAUCUUGAGCCACCUAGGGGCAACCGGAACAAAUGGUGGAGCGGUGAAAUGCGUAGAUAUCAUUUGGAACGCCAAUGGUGAAAACAGGUUGCUGGGGGUGUGCUGACGCUGAGACACGAAAGCCAGGGGAGCGAACGGG